rnacentral:rRNA from 1 species
GACGAACGCUGGCGGCGUGCCUAAUACAUGCAAGUUGAGCGCGGAAUGUUGGUACUGUUGCCCACGGGAUGGUCAGCGGACGGGUGAUUAACUCGGGGUGAAUCUGCCUUUGAGCAGGGGACAACAUUUGGAAACGAAUGCUAAUACCGCAUAAUAACUUUAAACACAAGUGUUAAGUUUGAAAGAUGCAAUUGCAUCACUCAAAGAUGAUCCCGCGUUGUAUUAGCUAGUUGGUGAGGUAAAGGCUCACCAAGGCGAUGAUACAUAGCCGAUCUGAGAGGGUGAUCGGCUACAUUGUGACUGAGAAAGGGCCCAAACUCCUACGGGAGGCCGCAGCAGAGACUCUUAGGCGAUGGAGGAAAGUCUGAUCGAGCAAAGCCGCGUGAGUGCAGAAGGAGUUAGGCUGCUAAAACUAUGUAGGUAGUGAAGAACGUUGGUGAGAGUGGAAAGCACAUUAAGGGAAGGUCCCUAACAAGAAAGGCAGGCCUACUUCCGU